CGUAGGUGACCUGCGGAGGGAUCAUUACACAAUAUGAAAGCGGGUUGGGACCUCACCUCGGUGAGGGCUCCAGCUUGUCUGAAUUAUUCACCCAUGUCUUUUGCGCACUUCUUGUUUCCUGGGCGGGUUCGCCCGCCACCAGGACCAAACCAUAAACCUUUUUGUAAUUGCAAUCAGCGUCAGUAAACAAUGUAAUUAUUACAACUUUCAACAACGGAUCUCUUGGUUCUGGCAUCGAUGAAGAACGCAGCGAAAUGCGAUACGUAGUGUGAAUUGCAGAAUUCAGUGAAUCAUCGAAUCUUUGAACGCACAUUGCGCCCUUUGGUAUUCCAAAGGGCAUGCCUGUUCGAGCGUCAUUUGUACCCUCAAGCUUUGCUUGGUGUUGGGCGUCUUUGUCUCUCACGAGACUCGCCUUAAAAUGAUUGGCAGCCGACCUACUGGUUUCGGAGCGCAGCACAAUUCUUGCACUUUGAAUCAGCCUUGGUUGAGCAUCCAUCAAGACCACAUUUUUUUCAACUUUUGACCUCGGAUCAGGUAGGGAUACCCGCUGAACUUAAGCAUAUCAAA
rnacentral:rRNA from 1 species